UGAAAGCUGGCACCUCCGGGGCCCGCUUUGUAAUCUCGAGACGUGUUUUCCGUGCGGCUCUAUGGCCAAGUCCCUUGGAAUAGGGCUUCGAAAAGGGUGAGAUUCCCGUACUUGCCAUGGAAAAACCGUGCUUUGCGAUACACGCUCUAAGAGUCGAGUUGUUUGGGAUUGCAGCUCAAAAUGGGUGGUAGACUCCAUCUAAAGCUAAAUAUCGGGGAGAGACCGAUAGCGAACAAGUACCGUGAGGAAAAGAUGAAAAGCACUUUGGAAAGAGAGUUAAAAGUACGUGAAAUUGUCGAAAGGGAAGCACUUGAAGUCAGCCAUGCUGC
rnacentral:rRNA from 1 species